rnacentral:rRNA from 1 species
CGUCGGGCCUAUUUUGUUGGUUCUAGGACCGUCGUAAUGAUUAAUAGGGACAGUUGGGGCCGUUCAUAUUCCGUAGUCAGAGGUGAAAUUCUUGGAUUUACGGAAGAUGAACUACUGCGAAAGCAUUCGGCAAGGAUGUUUUCGUUAAUCAAGAACGAAAGUUAGGGGAUCGAAGACGAUCAGAUACCGUCGUAGUCUUAACCAUAAACUAUGCCGACUCGGGAUCAGCGGGCGUUGUUUACGACCCCGCUGGCACCGUGUGAGAAAUCAAAGUCUUUGGGUUCCGGGGGGAGUAUGGUCGCAAGGCUGAAACUUAAAGGAAUUGACGGAAGGGCACCACCAGGAGUGGAGCCUGCGGCUUAAUUUGACUCAACACGGGGAAACUCACCA